CCCCCAAAAAAACAGGGAAGAGAAAGAAAAAGAGGAAAAAAAAAAGGGGGUAAAAAAACCCCCCAAAAAAGACAACUUUUUGAGACUGGAAUUAAAAGCCGAGGUAGGAUUUAACUUUUUUCCUAAAAGAAUCUCUUUGCCUCCUGUGAUUUGAAGUGAGUUUCUUGAUUCUGUGCAUGCGAAGAGAACGUCCGUCUUGAGAAAGACAAGGAUGUGGCCGGGAAUUGGUCUUGAAUUAACAAAGUCAAACUUCCCAUCAGAUUAGGAAUUAGUUAAGCCCAGGACGCAGAACUACAGCUCAAGGAGGAACUUUUCAUUGCGUAACCAGUCGUAGAGCACCAGAGAAUCCCUAAAUCAAUGCAGAUUACUGUGCUGGAUUAUCUGUUAAAUAAAGCAGCAACAGAGCACUGAUUAUUAAUGGUUGUUUUGCAAAUACGAGCGCUGGAUUUCUUUUCUUUUUCUCCUUUUCCUUCUUUUUUUUUCCCUCCCCCCCAUCCCAUUCCCUCUCUUUUCUAUGCUUCAUUUUCUUCCCUGACAGAUAUAACUUGAUCUCAGGAUUAAAAAAGAAGGAUCUGGUGAUUUGGGAACUGCUUUCUUGCCGUUUUCUUUGGUUUUCUUCCCUAGUACCCCUAUCCAAAUGCUUGCUUUCUUCUUUUAACCCUUUGUCUAUUCCAUUCCUUUGAAUGGACUCCAGAUUCCAAGAUUGACGAUUUACAAAAAAUAUAUUACGUGUGUAUGAAACCGUGGGAGACUAAUCAGGGAACUUGAUUUUGCCUAAUUUAUCCUCUCUGCAAAUCCAUGCUGGUCCUUAUCCCUUUCCCUGGAUUCUCUAUCAACCUCUUCCUUGUGGAAACUGAGAUUUUCUUUUUUUAGCUGCUUUACUGUAGAAGGGAAUUUUGGGUCAAAUAGGGAAACAAGGUGCUUCCCACUCGCUUUCAAUGGUCAGACUGGUUGCCUUUAGAUGCCACCUGCAAAAUACAGCAACCGAUUUGGAAAGGGGUCUUGAUGGUGCAUAGAAGAACACAAAGAUCUUGUGAUGGAUUGUGAUGAUAUAAAGAUCAUUUACAAUCUCAGAAUGGUGAUUCCAAGGCGGGGGGGUGGGGGGGCGAGGGAGAAAGACUUCAUAAUAAUAAAGAGCAAAUGGGGGUGACAGCACCUGAACUGCUUUUGAAAGGAGCAAUUCUGGCGUUGCUACUUCAUGCAAACCCUCUUGUGAGAGACAGAGGCAAAGAGCUGCCUUCUGACCUGUGCUGGACCCGCUCGUUUCGCUCGUGUGCUCAUGGGGGUCUUUACAAAAAGCAAAAGGACAAAAAGAAAGAGGCAGAAGAAACUGUCCCUGGCAGCUUGGCCGGGGCAAGGCUGUAGCUCUGGGUGUAACGUGAAAGACAUCUGCUCAUUUGAUGACUUUAAAUGAAUAAACAAGGUAUUUCCCUCCCUCCUCACCCACAGCCCUGUAAUUCAGAAUAAUUUAGUGCAUGUCUUAACUCCCUAUAAUGAUCUGCUUUGGGAAAGCUGGAGGAAAACCUCCUUUCUGUCUUCCCUUCAGGGUUCAUCUAGGUGCUGCUAUUGUUCCUGGCGCUGCUCCCGCAGCCCACGCCGGCGGUCGCACGGGCGUAGGGAAGUUCUUACAAGCUCUUGUUUUAUUCUCUGGUGCCUUGCUGUUCCUCCUUGCCCUUGGAGGUGGCACUCUCCUGGCCUGGUUGCUUGUCCCCAGCCAGAGUGGGAUAUUACAGAUGACAGGGCAACAGAACUGGCUCCAGAAGCAUCCAAGCCUUGGCGCAUGGAAGGGGAAAGAGCAUCCUCCAUGGAAAGGGAGAACAUCCUCUAUGGAUGCUAGCACCCUGAGCACCUCAUAGGAUGGAGUUGGACAACCUUGGCUUUGGUGGCACCAGGAGGUCACCGCAGGGAGCUCUCCUCAUUCAUCCCUCCGAGGCAGGGCAAGCUAGGAGGAGAAUGGUUGCUGAUUGAACUGGUGCUCACCAGGCUCAUGGACUGGGAGGUGGCUUUGGGUGGACCCUGGCAUUGAUCCCUCCUGCGAAGGGGUUUGGUGGCUCACCCAGGGACAGGGGACUUUUAUUCCUGAGUGAGCACUGGUGAGCCGCCAUGUGCCAUCCACCAUUGGCCAGUGUCUUGGUUUGAGGCGGGGGGAAGAAAGCGUCUUUUGUCCAAUCAGGGGCUGGAAGCCAUGGGAUGUGAUCAUCUUUUGGUGUUGCGAGGUGACCAAUCCUGGUCUGUGCGGGGCCAAGGCGGCACCACCAUAGGCUGAUGGUUGAUGGUGUCACUUGCUUGGGUAUAACAAAGACAAGAGCAGGAAUGGGAGGAUGCGAAGUGGGACGAGGGUGAAACUGGGCCAGGGAUUUAGCAACCUGGAGUGGAGGGAGCCAGCGUGCAGUGGGAUGGAUCCAGGGGCAGGUGGUGCCCAUGCUGGUCUGUGAUGGAGAGAAUGGGUUUAAAGCCCACUGGGCCCGGCCCGGCUCUCCAGAGCUUGUGCAACUCAAUGCAAAAAGCACCCUUUAAAACAGUCCUGAACCUCCCUUCUGCUCAGGGCCAUAGUGACACCGCGGGGCUAAAGCAUCUCCAGGUCUUCUCCUUUGUGCUCCCAGCCUGGCAGGGUGAAUGGGAAGCAGUUUCACCUCACUUGCUGCUGCUGGGGUGGCUCCUUUGGGACCUCCACAGGCUCCAGGGUGCUGUUGGUCCUGGUCACUCUCCACAUGGGUGGAGGUUCCUUUUUCAUUUGGAUCUUUGUUGUUGUGGGUGAUGAUUCCCAGCGGCAGGACUGGCUGUGCGCUCACAGCUUGGCUCUCUCUGAGGCCUUUGGGAACACGGAUGGGAACGCUCUUGCAAAGAGCUGAUUUAUGGUUUCUUUUCCUCCCUUUCUCCUCUGUUUGCUACUGGAAUACAGGAGCAAGGAGAAAGCCCAGUGUGUCGGUGUGACGUUGAUCCAAAUUGCAGCUUACAUGUGGCUGUUUAAGCUUGCUUGGACACUCUGAUUUGACUGGUUAACACUCAGCACUGUCUACUCAGUUCUCCCUUCUGGUCACAUAACUGCUGGAGACAUUAAUGGGAGAUAUGCUUGCAUAUUCUGUAUCGAGAGAUUAGCCCUCCACAUUCUUUUCCAUGCUUAGAAGCAGUGUUUGGGGAGAGGAAAAAAUGGAGCAAUACUAAUUUUUCUCUGGUUCAGUGAGUCAUUGAGAAGAACUGAAUAUACAAAUAGAAUUACUGAGAAUUAAUUUCAUUCACUGUAAUGCUUUCCUCUAGGAAAGAGCUUGCCUUUAGCUCCUGUCCUUAAUACUUGUGCCAGGCGGUGGGAAUGCAGUGGGUUGGUUUGUCGUUGAGUCCAAAGCCCCUUCCCACCACUCUGCUCAUGAACAAUGUGGGUCGGGGCAUUGCCAAACGUGCUGAAAUACUUGUGCUGGUCAAUGCUGCCAGUGGAUAUUGGAGAGGAGAAACCAUUCCUCACUUUUAUCCAUAAUAGAAGGAAAUUCUCCACUCCAAAUGGUGAGAAAUUGUUCAUUUUUCAUUUCUUUUUAAAAUCAGGAUUGAGGAAAGCAGCAAUAUCCCAACCGGAGGAAUUUUCUGCUGGCCUUAUCCACUUCUCAACUGCAAACAAAAGGAGGCCCUGAUGGCUCAAGCCCUUCGAGGUCUCCACAAAGCCCCUUUUCCUUCCCAGCAUCGCGCUCCCACCGCACGUUGGCCUGAAGCCCAUGUCCUGCAGCUCCGGGGAUGCCUCUGCCACCAGGGAGGAGCGUGGGUUCACCCUCUGUGAUGCUCGGCUCGUUUCCCAGCUGGUGAAUCCUGUCUCUGGCCCCGGUGAAUGUUCACAUGGAAUUUCCUGAUGAACGUGAAUGCAGCAGUGGAAAAUAAACCACCUCCAAAAGCCACCAGAGCCUGGCCAGUGGGACCGGUCUUGAGGGACCCUCAGCAGAAGCCCCUGACCAUGGCUGCUCCCACAUGCAUCCUCCUCCUCCUCUUCCUCUUCCUGGAGCACCACGAUGUAGAUCACGAUUUGCACCAGCAUCCCUCCAGGCUGCUUGGGGCUACUGGGGCGUCACCAUAAGGACACCAGCACCAGUCUGGGGAUGGAUGGGGUGGAGAAGACACUGGGACAUCGCCAUCCUGCUGCUGUGCAUUGGUCCUGCAUUACUGGUGAAGAACACGAGGCUGGGAGGGGAAAAGGCUCAAAGCAAGGAAAGGCAGUCUAGGAGCACAGGAAAUGUGUGUUAAUGGCUUGUGGAUGUCUCUGUCUCCCAAAUGAUGGAAUUGCUGGUGCCGGGCUGUUUUUGACAGCCUGUCUCUUCCAUGUUUUUAAAAUAUUCAUGCCCCAAAAUCUAAUUACCAGCAAAUUUCAUGCUAAUGGAGUGAAGUGACGGCGCUCCAGCAGCAGCGCGGGGCCGGCUUCGGCUUUCCUCUGCCUCCCUCCUGUUCACAUUGCUAUAAGAGAGCUGUUUCUUUCUUUCCAACUGCCUUUCUUGCAUAGAAAGCCCAACCCCAAAAGGAGGAUUGCUGACAAUAAAGCUUGGCUUGCUCAAGG